rnacentral:rRNA from 1 species
GACGAACGCUGGCGGCGUGCCUAAUACAUGCAAGUAGAACGCUGAAGACUUUAGCUUGCUAAAGUUAGAAGAGUUGCGAACGGGUGAGUAACGCGUAGGUAACCUGCCUACUAGCGGGGGAUAACUAUUGGAAACGAUAGCUAAUACCGCAUAACAGCAUUUAACCCAUGUUAGAUGCUUGAAAGGAGCAAUUGCUUCACUAGUAGAUGGACCUGCGUUGUAUUAGCUAGUUGGUGAGGUAACGGCUCACCAAGGCGACGAUACAUAGCCGACCUGAGAGGGUGAUCGGCCACACUGGGACUGAGACACGGCCCAGACUCCUACGGGAGGCAGCAGUAGGGAAUCUUCGGCAAUGGGGGCAACCCUGACCGAGCAACGCCGCGUGAGUGAAGAAGGUUUUCGGAUCGUAAAGCUCUGUUGUAAGAGAAGAACGUGUGUGAGAGUGGAAAGUUCACACAGUGACGGUAACUU